rnacentral:rRNA from 1 species
CUACGGGCUGCAGCAGUGGGGAAUAUUGGGCAAUGGGCGCAAGCCUGACCCAGCAACGCCGCGUGAGGGAAGAAGGUUUUCGGAUUGUAAACCUCUGUCCUUGGGGACGAAGAAGUGACGGUACCCAAGGAGGAAGCUCCGGCUAACAUACGUGCCAGCAGCCGCGGUAAUACGUAGGGAGCAAGCGUUGUCCGGAAUUACUGGGCGUAAAGGGUGCGUAGGCGGCAUAUUAAGUCAGGUGUGAAAUACUCGGGCUCAACCCGGGGGCUGCAUUUGAAACUGAUAUGCUUGAGUGUGAGAGAGGAAAGUGGAAUUCCUAGUGUAGCGGUGGAAUGCGUAGAUAUUAGGAGGAACACCAGUGGCGAAGGCGACUUUCUGGCUCAUAACUGACGCUGAGGCACGAAAGCGUGGGGAGCAAACAGGAUUAGAUACCCCUGUAGUC